ACAAAUUGAAAAUUGAAAAGGUAAAUUACAUUUUCAAAUUUAAUCUGAAUUUGAUGCGCAUCAUUUGAUCUCAAUUUCAUUUCUCAUGCAAAGCAUUAGACUCAUAAGUAAGUCCACAACAGGAAGUUUGCAAUAUAUCAAAGAUGAGAUUGUAGUUUCUUUCCUUAGAAACAUUUGGAAUUUUUUUUACACGAUUCCAUGUUUUUUUGCAGUGCUAGAUUUUUCAAUGCAGGAGAUUCUUGUUGCUUCAGCGAUAUCAAAUUUAAGCUUAGAAAUUGGAAGAUGA
rnacentral:misc_RNA from 1 species